AGACAGAGGAGGAACAACAUAGAUCUGUUGAGCUGUUUGGGCCUGACAUUAGAUCCCUGACUGGCGAGAAUGGCAAGAGUCAGUGUUUCCCUCCAAUCCCCAAAGGACUGCACAAUUUGGCCUUGUUUGCAUGGGGCUUCUCUCUCUCCGUUAGAAUGGGAAAAGGGAACCUUACCUAGAGCACCCGAGGCAGCACAGCUCUCAAGACGUGUCAACCCCUCUUUGUGUAUCGUCCAAUCAACAGGAGUCCUGCUCUCUACUUCCGCUGAGCACUCUGUUUGAGAAGAUAAAUUGAUCCAACGAGGGAAGAG
rnacentral:lncRNA from 13 species